rnacentral:rRNA from 1 species
AGGGUUUGAUUCUGGCUCAGGACGAACGCUGGCGGUGCGCCUUAUGCAUGCAAGUUGAGCGAAGCUUUUUUGUAGUUUACUACGAAAAAUGACUGAGCGGCGAACGGGUGAGUAACGCGUGAGCAAUCUACCUUAGUUACUGGGAUAGCCCGAGGAAACUCGGAUUAAUACCGGAUAUUCUUAUUUUUUCACAUGAAGUUUUAAGGAAAGGUCAGCCGAACUAAGAUGAGCUCGCGUUCUAUCAGCUAGUUGGUGGGGUAAAAGCCUACCAAGGCUACGACGGAUAGCUGGUCUGAGAGGACGGUCAGCCACACUGGGACUGAGACACGGCCCAGACUCCUACGGGAGGCUGCAGCAGGGAAUAUUGUGCAAUGAGCGAAAGCUUGACACAGCGACACCGCGUGUGGGAUGACGGUUCUAGGAUUGUAAACCACUUUCAGGAGGGAAGAAAAUGACGGUACCUCCACAAGAAGACCCGGCCAACUAUGUGCCAGCAGCCGCGGUAAUUC